CUAAACUUCCCUCUUUCUAACAAACACCACCAUCGCCCGGAACUCCCUUCCCCUUCAGGACCCCAUUCUUUACUUUUUCAGAUGGCUUAUUGGAGAAACAACCUCUUCUAAGGGAUGAGAUGUUGCUAAAGUUCUUUUUCAUAGGGGUCCUCCGUGGACAGCACACCCAGGAUUCAUGAAAGGAUAAUGGCUGGAAAUUCCAGGCAUGUGGCAACUUCUGAGGGACAGAUGGAAGUAGAUUAUCUCCUCUGCUCUUAGAAUAGUAGGAAAUAUUUGUAUUCAUUUAAAGUGGAAAGACAAUCUGCAUGCCUGGAGGAGAUAUUUGCAACAUUUACAACUGGCAAAGGUUUAUUAUCAAGAAUAUAUAAAGAAGUCUUGCAAAUCAACAAGAAAGAAGAAUAAAGCAGAAAGAAAUGGACAAACGAAAAGGCAUUUUAUAAAAGAAGAAAUGCGGAUGGCCAGCAAACAUAUGGAGAUGUUCAGCCUCAUGUGAAAUGUAAAUCAAGACCAAAUAAGAUAAGCUUUUAUGUCCACUAAAAUGGCAAAAUUUUAAUAGCUAGACAAUCCAAGUAUUGGAAAACAUACGGAUCCAUGGGAUCUCUUACAAAUUGCUCAUAAAGGUAUACAUUAGGAUACUCACUUAGAAAAACAGUGUGGCAUUAUCUUGUAAAAUCAAACACUCACAUAGGCUGCUGUGCAGAUCCUUGGUCUGUUUGCCCUCAGAUCCACUCUUUGCUAUGCCCUUAUGUGCUCGGUUUUCCAGCAGGAUCUCGGCAGCCAUGUCAUCUUGCUUCCAGUUGGGCUCAGUCAAUAAAAGAGAGAGAAUGGAAGGUGGAAGGAAGGGAGUAGCCAAGGUAUUUCUCAACCGGCACCCUCCCCCACUCCUCUCAAGUAGCAUCUCCUGUGGUGGCCACAGCUCUCCCAUGGGUCCAGUUCCCACAGGAAAGCCAGUCAUGAUUCUAACUUGUACCAGGUGACCCUGGCCCUGGGCUCUGGUGACACUAACCCUUUAUUUCUCUAGUUCUAGGGAGGGGUAGUAACAGCUUCCUGCUAUUAUUAAUUUAUGGGUGGCCUUACUGCCUCCUGUGAGGCUUCUCAGCUAUUGAUUACCAUACUACUCAGCAAUAAAAAGGAAAAAACUAUUGACACAUGCAACAACUUUGCUGGACCACAAGAGAAUUUUACCAACUGAAAAAGCCAGUCUCACAUUGUUACAUACUAUAUGAUUCCACUUACAUAACCUUCUAGAAAUGACAAAAUUAUUGAGGUGAAGAACAGAUUAGUGGUUGCCAAGGGUUAAAGACAGGGGUGGGGUUGGAGAAGGACAACAACUUUGUGGGACCACAAGAGAAUUUUACCAACUAAAAAAGCCAGUCUCACAUGGUUACAUACUGUAUGAUUCCACUUAUAUAACCUUCUAGAAAUGACAAAAUUAUUGAGGUGAAGAACAGAUUAGUGGUUCCAAGGGUUAAAGACAGGGGUGGGGUUGGAGAAGGAAAUCAGUGUACCUAAAAAGGGGCAGCCAGAGGGAUCUUUGUGGUGAUGGGACAGUUCUGUAUCUUGAUUGUGGUAGUGGUUAUACAAAUCUACAUGUAAUAAAGUUUUAUGUGUGCAUAGAACUAUGUACAUACUCAAACCAAUGCAUGUAACCCUGGUGAAAUCUGAAUAAGGUCUGUAGAUUGUGACCUGGUUUCGAUACUGCUUUAUAGCUAUCUAAGAUGUUAUUAUUGGGAGAAAAUGGGGGAAAGGUACGUGUACUUUUCUGUACCAUUUUUGCAACUUCUUGUGACUCUGUUAGUACUUCAAAAUGGAAAGUAUCUGAAAAACCA